AGCUCCAAUAGCGUAUAUUAAAGUUGUUGCAGUUAAAAAGCUCGUAGUUGGAUUUCGGGGCAGAUGAGGCACGCUGAUGCCUACGGGUUCGGCGGUGACUCGCUGUUCUUACCUGUCAUGUAUCAUCCUUGUUGGUGGUGCUUGGCUCGUUUACUGUGAAAAAAUUAGAGUGUUCAACGCAGGCUAACGCCGUGAAUACAUUAGCAUGGAAUAAUAAAAUAGGACUCUGGUUCUAUUUUGUUGGUUUCUAGGACCGGAGUAAUGAUUAAUAGGGACAGUUGGGGGCAUUCGUAUUCUUGAGUCAGAGGUGAAAUUCUUAGAUUUCAGGAAGACGAACUUCUGCGAAAGCAUUUGCCAAGGAUGUUUUCAUCA
rnacentral:rRNA from 1 species